rnacentral:misc_RNA from 1 species
CAAAUUCAAUGCAAGUGGGACGAUAGGCGAAGUUUCAAGCAGGUUAGAGCCUCCUAAACCUGAAAUUGUCAGUGAAGAGAAGGAUUAUACGUCAGAAGUAUCACAAAUUGGGCAAACUGAAACCAAGGGUGAAUACAAGAGGACUUUAUCUGCUGGUCUUAAAAGCCCAGGAGCUGAAACACCAAAGACGGCCAUCUUGCACAGAAUCAAUUCUAAGAAGGCAGUAAAAUCUUAUCAAUUGGGGCAUCAGCUUUCACUCAACUGGUCAACAGGAGCUGGGCCAAGGAUUGGGUGCGUUGCUGACUACCCUGGAGAAGUCGCACAACAAGCUUUGGAAUUUGUUAACCUAUCUCCAAGAAGUCCGGAGUUACCUAAUUCGCUGCCUCCCCUCCGAACCACGAACAGGGUCGCGCGUCCGAAACGCGAUACUCUGGGGUUCUAAAAGCUCGGAAACACGUCCUGUUUCGCUGAAAUAGGGGUUCCAAACAGGCAGGCAGCAACAUGCAAGAAAGAGAAAGAACAACAAAGAACAGAAAAAAACAAAAACAAAAAGUUGGGAAUUGGGACUGCUUUCUUCUUCUCCAUAUUUUAGAGGGAUAGGUGGCUGUUAAGGAUAUGUGCGCAAAAAUGUGAAAUGACGACUUUGAGAUUGUUUUUUUUUUAAUUUCUAUAAUAA